AUUGAACGCUGGCGGCAGGCCUAACACAUGCAAGUCGAACGGUAACAGGGAUCAGCUUGCUGAUUCGCUGACGAGUGGCGGACGGGUGAGUAAUGUCUGGGAAACUGCCUGAUGGAGGGGGAUAACUACUGGAAACGGUAGCUAAUACCGCAUAACGUCGCAAGACCAAAGAGGGGGACCUUCGGGCCUCUUGCCAUCGGAUGUGCCCAGAUGGGAUUAGCUAGUAGGUGGGGUAACGGCUCACCUAGGCGACGAUCCCUAGCUGGUCUGAGAGGAUGACCAGCCACACUGGAACUGAGACACGGUCCAGACUCCUACGGGAGGCAGCAGUGGGGAAUAUUGCACAAUGGGCGCAAGCCUGAUGCAGCCAUGCCGCGUGUAUGAAGAAGGCCUUCGGGUUGUAAAGUACUUUCAGCGGGGAGGAAGGGAGUAAAGUUAAUACCUUUGCUCAUUGACGUUACCCGCAGAAGGAGCACCGGCUAACUCCGUG
rnacentral:rRNA from 1 species